rnacentral:ribozyme from 12 species
UUUGAUUUUGGUUUUGAUUUUUUUUUUCUUUUUUUUUGUUUAUGUUUUUGUUCUUGCUUUUGUGAAUCUGAAGCAAAAAGAAGCAGAAAAGUGGCGGUUUGUGGCGCAGGUAGAACAAAAAGAACAAAAAAAACGAACAAUG